GGUGUAGCUAGAAAGAAAAACAGAAUGUAACUGUCAAUAUCUGUAACCCUUUUUAAUUGACACACAUGAGAUAGGAUCAAAUGGCAAAAUCAGAUGUUUGAAAACAGGAGUAAGCAUGCUGCAGUGAUGUGACCUUGGUUCGAUAUCUGUGUCGUAUAACUUGACAGCAUCAUCACUAUGACAACAUAAUGCUUGGCUGAGAGGCUGACAAACUGUUGAAAAAAGUCAAAGAGAUCUGAGUAAUAUACAUACCUGAUGAUUAGUAAUAAACUGCUGCUUGGGAUAUGAACAACAUUUUCGUGGCAACAAGAGUCAAGAUGCAGUAUGGUAAUGAGGUUCAGAUGUCAGAUAUCGGCAGCCAUCUCGUUACAUAUCACUGGACAGUUUUAUGGAGUAUUUCACGUAUUGACACACGUCGAACUGCGAAGGAAGCAAGAUUCAAAUGGCACAAGUCACACCAAGAGACUGGAUACUAGCAUUUUACACAGGGAUCCCACAAAAAUCUUGAUUUUUUGGUGAAAAUGCGACGGUUUUCGAGCAAUGUUUUUUGCCCAAAACAUGAAAAAUGACCAGAAAAGGCUAUAUUCGUACCCUACGGAGAAUAAAAACCCGAAAAAACGCUUAUUUUAGGCAAAAAACACCAUUAUGUUAAUUAGUCACGUGACCAGUCACGUGACCCUU
rnacentral:lncRNA from 1 species